UACGAACCGUACAAACGUUAUUCGGAAUCACUGGGCUUAAAGGGUGCGUAGGCGGCCAUGUAAGUGGGGUGUGAAAUCCCUCGGCUCAACCGAGGAACUGCGCUCCAUACUGCAUGGCUUGAGGGAGACAGGGGUAAGCGGAACUGAUGGUGGAGCGGUGAAAUGCGUAGAUAUCGGGAGGAACACCAGAGGCGAAGGCGGCUUUCUGGCUGCUAACUGACGCUGAGGCGCGAAGGCUGGGGUAGCGAACAGG
rnacentral:rRNA from 1 species